AAAGCAGGUCAGGCGAUCGCGUCCUGCCUCGCCCGGCGAGGCAGGAUGAGGAAAGUCCGAACUCCAUAGGGCGAGAUGAUCCGUAACGCGGAUCCCGGGUGACCGGGGGAAAGUGCCACAGAAAAUACACAGUCCCCUUCUGCAUGGCGGGAGGAGAUAACGGUGAAAUGGCGAGGUAAGAGCUCACCGCUUCAAUGGUGACAUUGGAGGCACGGCAAACCCCAUCUGGAGCAAGACCAAAUAAGCGGAGAGAGGCGGCCCGUCUCGACCGAUCCGCGGGUAGGUUGCUUGAGGCGCCGGGCAACCGGCAUCCCAGAUAAAUGAUCGCCACACCGUCGCGCGCAGCGGGACGGAAUGACAGAAUUCGGCUUAUCGACCUGCUUUGGUU
rnacentral:RNase_P_RNA from 1 species